AGAGUAGAGUCAUCAUUCGUUUGAAUUGACAUACAAGAAAAUCUCACAAGAGAAUUAGUUGUUUUAGUCUUUUACUUGCUUAGUACUCAGUGAUCUGGGUUCAUUUGAAAUUGAAAAUAUUCUGUCUCGCAAGAGACUAGCUUUAGUGACCACAGCGGUCAAAGCGAAGGAAAAGGGACUUGUUCCUUUUACGGACUAUUUAAUGUAAUGGGGAAUUAGCUCAGCUGGGAGAGCGCCUGCCUUGCACGCAGGAGGUCAGCGGUUCGAUCCCGCUAUUCUCCACCAUUUUAAAAACCAAAUAUAAGCUUUUUACGAAGAGUUUAUAUUUGGUUUUAUACCAAAUGUUCAUUAAAUUAUCAUUGUUAAAGUCAACAGAAAUAGUAAGUAAAAUUACUAUUAACUAAAUAACUACAAUUAAACAGACACUGUCUUACAUUAAGUAAGGUAGUGAACGCAAAUUAGAAUAAAAAAGAUAUUAAGGGCCAUAGGUGGAUGCCUUGGC
rnacentral:tRNA from 1 species